rnacentral:rRNA from 3 species
GAGUGGCGAACUGGUGAGUAACACGUGGGAAACCUGCCCAGAAGCGGGGGAUAACACCUGGAAACAGAUGCUAAUACCGCAUAACAACUUGGACCGCAUGGUCCGAGUUUGAAAGAUGGCUUCGGCUAUCACUUUUGGAUGGUCCCGCGGCGUAUUAGCUAGAUGGUGAGGUAACGGCUCACCAUGGCAAUGAUACGUAGCCGACCUGAGAGGGUAAUCGGCCACAUUGGGACUGAGACACGGCCCAAACUCCUACGGGAGGCAGCAGUAGGGAAUCUUCCACAAUGGACGAAAGUCUGAUGGAGCAACGCCGCGUGAGUGAAGAAGGGUUUCGGCUCGUAAAACUCUGUUGUUAAAGAAGAACAUAUCUGAGAGUAACUGUUCAGGUAUUGACGGUAUUUAACCAGAAAGCCACGGCUAACUACGUGCCAGCAGCCGCGGUAAUACGUAGGUGGCAAGCGUUGUCCGGAUUUAUUGGGCGUAAAGCGAGCGCAGGCGGUUUUUUAAGUCUGAUGUGAAAGCCUUCGGCUCAACCGAAGAAGUGCAUCGGAAACUGGGAAACUUGAGUGCAGAAGAGGACAGUGGAACUCCAUGUGUAGCGGUGAAAUGCGUAGAUAUAUGGAAGAACACCAGUGGCGAAGGCGGCUGUCUGGUCUGUAACUGACGCUGAGGCUCGAAAGUAUGGGUAGCAAACAGGAUUAGAUACCCUGGUAGUCCAUACCGUAAACGAUGAAUGCUAAGUGUUGGAGGGUUUCCGCCCUUCAGUGCUGCAGCUAACGCAUUAAGCAUUCCGCCUGGGGAGUACGGCCGCAAGGCUGAAACUCAAAGGAAUUGACGGGGGCCCGCACAAGCGGUGGAGCAUGUGGUUUAAUUCGAAGCUACGCGAAGAACCUUACCAGGUCUUGACAUACUAUGCAAAUCUAAGAGAUUAGACGUUCCCUUCGGGGACAUGGAUACAGGUGGUGCAUGGUUGUCGUCAGCUCGUGUCGUGAGAUGUUGGGUUAAGUCCCGCAACGAGCGCAACCCUUAUUAUCAGUUGCCAGCAUUAAGUUGGGCACUCUGGUGAGACUGCCGGUGACAAACCGGAGGAAGGUGGGGAUGACGUCAAAUCAUCAUGCCCCUUAUGACCUGGGCUACACACGUGCUACAAUGGAUGGUACAACGAGUUGCGAACUCGCGAGAGUAAGCUAAUCUCUUAAAGCCAUUCUCAGUUCGGAUUGUAGGCUGCAACUCGCCUACAUGAAGUCGGAAUCGCUAGUAAUCGCGGAUCAGCAUGCCGCGGUGAAUACGUUCCCGGGCCUUGUACACACCGCCCGUCACACCAUGAGAGUUUGUAACACCCAAAGUCGGUGGG